GCAAUGGCACGAUCUUGGCUCACUGCAAUCACUGCCUCCCAGGUUCAAGUGAUUCUCCUGCCUCAGCCUCCCGAGUAGCUGGGAUUACAGACGUGUGCCACCAUGCUCAGCUAAUUUUUGUAUUUUCAGUAGACACAGGGUUUCACCAUGUUGGCCAGGCUGAUCUCGAACUCCUGACAUCAGGGGAUCCACCCACCUCAGCCUCCCAAAGUGGUGGGAUUACAGGCGUGAGCCACUGCGCCUGGCCUGCCCCACCUACCUUAAGUUCAAGGAGAAGCCAUCUCCCCAGGACCCAGCCCCAGGCCUGCACCACAGAUGCUCAAAGACUUGGAGGAACUGAUGAAUUCAUUUUAAUCACAGAAAUUUGCCUGGGCUUGAGCAAACUGUGGGGACUCAAUAGAUUUGGAGGCCUCCUCUCCCUUCUGAGAGGGCUGAAAGCAGCACAGCUGAGUCAGCGGCACAUUC
rnacentral:lncRNA from 10 species